rnacentral:rRNA from 1 species
GAUGAACGCUAGCGGCAGGCUUAACACAUGCAAGUCGAGGGGUAGUAGGAGCUUGCUUCUAUGAGACCGGCGCACGGGUGCGUAACGCGUAUGCAAUCUGCCUCUCACUGGGGAAUAGCCCGGAGAAAUCCGGAUUAAUGCCCCAUGGUAUUUUAGGGUGGCAUCACCUUAUUAUUAAAGAUUUAUCGGUGAGAGAUGAG